rnacentral:rRNA from 1 species
CAAUAGCGUAUAUUUAAGUUGUUGCAGUUAAAAAGCUCGUAGUUGGAUUUCGGAUGGGAUUUGCCGGUCCGUCGUUACGAUGUGCACUGGCCAGUCCUAUCUUGUUGUCGGGGACUAGCUCCUUGGAUUCACUUCCUGGGACUAGGAGCUGACGAGGUUACUUUGAGUAAAUUAGAGUGUUCAAAGCAAGCCUACGCUCUGAAUACAUUAGCAUGGAAUAACACGAUAAGACUCUGGCUUAUCUUGUUGGUCUGUGAGACCAGAGUAAUGAUUAAGAGGGACAGUCGGGGGCAUUCGUAUUCCGUUGUCAGAGGUGAAAUUCUUGGAUUUACGGAAGACGAACAUCUGCGAAAGCAUUUGCCAAGGAUGUUUUCAUUGA